CCUACGGGGUGCAGCAGUGAGGCAUAUUGGUCAAUGGACGAGAGUCUGAACCAGCCAAGUAGCGUGAAGGAUGACUGCCCUAUGGGUUGUAAACUUCUUUUAUAUGGGAAUAAAAUGUUCCACGUGUGGGAUUUUGUAUGUACCAUAUGAAUAAGGAUCGGCUAACUCCGUGCCAGCAGCCGCGGUAAUACGGAGGAUCCGAGCGUUAUCCGGAUUUAUUGGGUUUAAAGGGAGCGUAGGUGGAUUGUUAAGUCAGUUGUGAAAGUUUGCGGCUCAACCGUAAAAUUGCAGUUGAAACUGGCAGUCUUGAGUACAGUAGAGGUGGGCGGAAUUCGUGGUGUAGCGGUGAAAUGCUUAGAUAUCACGAAGAACUCCGAUUGCGAAGGCAGUUCACUGGACUGCAACUGACACUGAGGCUCGAAAGUGUGGGUAUCAAACAGGAUUAGAUACCCGAGUAGUC
rnacentral:rRNA from 1 species